GCUUAUUGAUGAUUUGGUGCGGCAUACAAGAGUAUAUAAGAGGGUACAAACCGACUUGGGGUAGGGGUACAAAACUGACUUGGACUAGAAGUCAUAUACCAUAAUGACUACUCUAACACUACACAGUCGUGAAAUCCUUAUCUGCUUCAUUCUUCUUCCAUACAUGAUAUACAAGGUUAUCAUUAGUCCAAAUUAAAGCAGUUCUUGUGAUGCUCGAUACUGUUGGCAGGAGGUACGAAAUUGUUUGAUCUAUCAAGCAUGGAUGUAGGUUCACUUGUAUGUUGCACCUACUGUUAGAUCUAGAGUAUCACUAGCUGAACCUUCUAUUCGUGUUCAGUGUUGACGGCAACCACGGGAGGGGGUCGGGGCGAUCGAAGAGUAAGGCGUGGGUGACUCCGGCGAGAUGUGGCUAGAGCGGAUGUCGAUGAUGCGGCAAUGAGAAGACCCUCUUUAGGAGAAGGGCGUCUCAUUUCCUUUAGUAGAUACAAUGGAUGACACAACAGAGGGUUGAGGACUUGAAGUAGAUCUUCACCAAUCAUUUUAUCAUAUGCUUUGACAAUCACUGGGGAAGUUGCAUUGCAAAACUGCAGGCUUUUCUGUUGACGAGCUCCCGGCCUUCUCAGCCUGGCAUUGGCACAUCAAUAAGGGCUUCAAAGAGGAGGUACAACCUACUAUCUGCUGAAUUGAUCUUGAUCAAGUGGAUGUCGGCGUGGCACUGGACCUAUGCUUCGCAGUGGCGGCGACGACACCGUUCUGGAAGCAGUGGGGGCGGUGGGCCACGCCCGUGCCGUCGCUGACACUCCAGCUGCACGGUGCCGGCUGGGAGUCGCUGACACUCCACCUGAACAGCACCGGCUGGCAGUUGCCGUGUGAUAACUACAUGUUCGAAACACGAUGGCCGGCGCAAUGUGACAAGCUCACAACGUCGUUAUAGUGUUUUUUUUUUACAAAGGUAGACCUUGUAUUAUGGAUCAGGUGAAACACACCGAUGUGUUAGUGGUAUUGAACUGAA